rnacentral:rRNA from 1 species
UACGUAGGGUGCAAGCGUUAAUCGGAAUUACUGGGCGUAAAGCGUGCGCAGGCGGUUGUGCAAGACAGAUGUGAAAUCCCCGGGCUCAACCUGGGAACUGCAUUUGUGACUGCACGGCUAGAGUGUGUCAGAGGGGGGUAGAAUUCCACGUGUAGCGGUGAAAUGCGUAGAGAUCCGGAGGAACACCGACGGCGAAGGCAGCGCCCUGGACGAGACCUGACGCUCAGGCACGAAAGCUGGGGGAGCAAACAGG